UACGUAGGGGGGCAAGCGUUAUCCGGAAUCACUGGGCGUAAAGCGUCUGUAGGUGGUUCGAAAAGUCCACUGUUAAAAAUUGAAGCUUAACUUCAAAGAUGCCGUGGAAACUUUCAAACUAGAGUGUGGUAGGGGUAGAGGGAAUUUCCAGUGGAGCGGUGAAAUGCGUAGAUAUUGGAAAGACCACCGAUGGCGAAGGCACUCUACUGGGCCAUUACUGACACUGAGAGACGAAAGCUAGGGGAGCAAAUGGG
rnacentral:rRNA from 1 species